UUUAUCGGAGAGUUUGAUCCUGGCUCAGGACGAACGCUGGCGGCGUGCCUAAUACAUGCAAGUCGAGCGGACAGAUGGGAGCUUGCUCCCUGAUGUUAGCGGCGGACGGGUGAGUAACACGUGGGUAACCUGCCUGUAAGACUGGGAUAACUCCGGGAAACCGGGGCUAAUACCGGAUG
rnacentral:rRNA from 2 species